AGGCAGCAGUGGGGAAUAUUGCACAAUGGGCGCAAGCCUGAUGCAGCGACGCCGCGUGAGGGAUGAAGGCCUUCGGGUUGUAAACCUCUUUCAGCAGGGAAGAAGUGUCUGGGUUUUCUUGGGCGUGACGGUACCUGCAGAAGAAGCACCGGCUAACUACGUGCCAGCAGCCGCGGUAAUACGUAGGGUGCGAGCGUUGUCCGGAAUUAUUGGGCGUAAAGAGCUUGUAGGCGGUUUGUCGCGUCUGCUGUGAAAUUUCGGGGCUCAACCCCGAACUUGCAGUGGGUACGGGCAGACUAGAGUGUGGUAGGGGAGACUGGAAUUCCUGGUGUAGCGGUGAAAUGCGCAGAUAUCAGGAGGAACACCGAUGGCGAAGGCAGGUCUCUGGGCCAUUACUGACGCUGAGAAGCGAAAGCAUGGGGAGCGAACAGGAUUAGAUACCCUGGUAG
rnacentral:rRNA from 1 species